UACGUAGGGUGCAAGCGUUAAUCGGAAUUACUGGGCGUAAAGCGUGCGCAGGCGGUUUGGCAAGACAGAUGUGAAAUCCCCGGGCUUAACCUGGGAAUGGCAUUUGUGACUGCACGGCUAGAGUGUGUCAGAGGGGGGUAGAAUUCCACGUGUAGCAGUGAAAUGCGUAGAUAUGUGGAGGAAUACCGAUGGCGAAGGCAGCCCCCUGGGAUAACACUGACGCUCAUGCACGAAAGCGUGGGGAGCAAACAGG
rnacentral:rRNA from 1 species